ensembl:snRNA U6 U6 spliceosomal RNA
GUGCUCACUUCAGCAGCACAUAUACUAAAAUUGGAACGGUACAGAGAAGAUUAGCAUAGCCCCUCUUUUAAAAAAAACAGAAAAUAUAAAUUUUG